AGUGAACGCUGGCGGUAGGCCUAACACAUAGCAAGUCGAACGGCAGCACAGGAGAGCUUGCUCUCUGGGUGGCAGAGUGGCGGACGGGUGAGGAAUGCAUCGGAAUCUACUCUUUCGUGGGGGAUAACGUAGGGAAACUUACGCUAAUACCGCAUACGACCUACGGGUGAAAGCCGGGGACCUUCGGCCUGGGCGCCGAAAGAAUGAGCCGAUGCCCCGAUUACUAGUUGGGCGGGGGUAAGAAGCCACCAGGCGACGAUCGGGUACUGGCUGAGAGGAUGAUCAGCCCACUGGAACUGAUACACGGUCCACUCUACUGGAGGCACAGUGGGGAAUUUUGGACAUGGGCGCAAGCCUGAUCCAGCCAUACCGC
rnacentral:rRNA from 1 species